CUUAGUCACAUCAAAAGUUUCAUUAGAGAUGAUCUUGACAUGCUCAAGCACCUCCCGAAAACAACCAACGAUGAGUCACUGCUUGG